rnacentral:rRNA from 1 species
CCUACGGGUGGCAGCAGUGGGGAAUAUUGGACAAUGGGGGCAACCCUGAUCCAGCCAUGCCGCGUGUGUGAAGAAGGCCCUCGGGUUGUAAAGCACUUUCAGUGAGGAAGAACGCCUGGUGGUUAAUACCCAUCAGGAAAGACAUCACUCACAGAAGAAGCACCGGCUAACUCCGUGCCAGCAGCCGCGGUAAUACGGAGGGUGCGAGCGUUAAUCGGAAUUACUGGGCGUAAAGCGCGCGUAGGUGGCUUGAUAAGCCGGUUGUGAAAGCCCCGGGCUCAACCUGGGAACGGCAUCCGGAACUGUCAAGCUAGAGUGCAGGAGAGGAAGGUAGAAUUCCCGGUGUAGCGGUGAAAUGCGUAGAGAUCGGGAGGAAUACCAGUGGCGAAGGCGGCCUUCUGGACUGACACUGACACUGAGGUGCGAAAGCGUGGGUAGCAAACAGGAUUAGAUACCGUGUAGUC